UACGAAGGGGGCUAGCGUUGCUCGGAAUCACUGGGCGUAAAGGGUGCGUAGGCGGGUCUUUAAGUCAGGGGUGAAAUCCUGGAGCUCAACUCCAGAACUGGCCUUUGAUACUGAGGAUCUUGAGUAUGGGAGAGGUGAGUGGAACUGCGAGUGUAGAGGUGAAAUUCGUAGAUAUCGCAAGAACACCAGUGGCGAAGGCGACUCACUGGCCCAUUACUGACGCUGAGGCACGAAAGCGUGGGGAGCAACAGG
rnacentral:rRNA from 1 species